UGAUGUGUGUUUUAUAUAGGUUGCACCACUCGGUGUUUAGGAGUAACAUCCCUUGUAACAGUUGUUGUCAACCAAGAUCAUGGAUGGCAUACCAGCUGAUUUUGGUACAUCUUAUGGUGAAGAGUAGUUCAGGCAAGACCAGUAUGUGGUUCAUAAUACUUACUAAUUGUAUUGCAAGGGACACAAGAAGAAUAGGUGCAACAAUUUCCUCUUCUGAUGAUUGGGAAAUUCCAUUUGAAAGUAUCACAGAUCUCCAGUGGCUGGGAAGUGGAGCUCAUGGGCCUGUGUUUCUUGGCAAACUCUGUAAUGAAAAAGCAGUCAAGAAAGUCAGAGAUGUCAGACAGACAUUUGGAACUUAAGCUAACUGAAUCACCCAAACAUUAUAGCCUUCAAUGUUCUUGUGGCAUCCAAUGAUAUUGUCAGGAACCAGCCGAGAGUGGAAUAAAAAAACAAAAAGCACUAAAAUGUCAUUCGCUGGCACUGUGACCUGAAUGGCAUCAGAAGCACAUUUGAAAUAAAAUGUGCAGUGAAAUGAAAAAGUAGACAUUUGGAGUGCAAAGCUCAAAAAUCGACCAUCAUUUAGACAAAUUCUCAUGCACCUUGAGAUUGCCUCUGCUGAAUUACUUUGGUUCAGUCGGGAGGACUUUUCUGAAUUUCUAUGAAGUCCUUAACUGAAAGACACAGAUUCUGUCACUAUCAUCAAGAUAUUCUAAGAAAGGAUCUGAGAUGAGAACAAUUACUGACUAUGUACAAUAAUACUAGAAAGAGUAUAAUUCGUCCAGUCAUAAAAGUUCUAGAAAAGCUAGAUUGACUUGGUAAAAAAACUGACACAUAGGUCAGAGUCUGAAGUCACCAUGCCUGACUCUAUAAAAAAACACAGAAGGAAGCAUGACAACCAGGUCUUAGCUGGUACCACCACCCCCUACGAAAAUGCGUGCCAGGAAGUCUCGUCAUCGUCGCAAUAACAGCAGAGGGUCUAUGAAAGACAUUACCUCUCUGCUCAAAUCACAAUCUACAUAUGAAGCUUCACUGGACACCCAAACAUCAGACAAACUAAACCCUGCAGAGCUUCAUCCUACUGACCUAUGCUAAGACAUUAAACUUUUUGGGACCUGCCACUGCAAUCAGGGAGUAUCAAAGUGAAGAUGAAGCAGAUGGGCAAGAGACUAGGUUAACAACAUUAAAAAACAUCAAGUUCGUUGUGGCAAAAACUCAUCCACUUCUGCUGCUAGGCACUCGCCAAUCUCAAAACAUUCUCCUGUAAGUAAAAGCAGAACUCAUCCUAUCAAGACAAUAACAUUAAUGAUGUUUGCUUUGGCUGUAAUGGUGGCUGCAGUGAUGCUACUUGUAGCAGCAAAUGCUCAUCCCAGGUCAGUGCUGAUGUGGAGAACACAUGUGACCCUAUGCCCAGCCCAAAACAGAACUUGGAAACUAUGAGUGAAAAAUCCUCUCCAGAUAUUGACCUCUCAUCCCGACCUGAAACCUUUAUUUCAAUGCUGAGAUAACAAACAGAUGGUUUGGUUGUUGUUGUAUUUGAAAAACACAAAUGUCUACCAAACUUGAGGCCCACUUUCUUCAAUUCUUUACAAAGGUAACCUGCAGCAUGUUAAAAAGAUGAAGUUUGUGAUAGGCUUCUUAAAAAGUUGGUUCCAAUAAAAAUUAAACUGAGUUAAUUCAUAAGUAUCAAUUUUAACCAGGUGUAAUAGUUUGUAUUUCAAAUGUCUGAUAAGUCCACUUGGGCAUUAUUUGUUUAUUGGGAGCUCUGUUUGAUUAGCCAGUGCACUAGGAAUUUUGUCUCUUUCAUAAAAAUGAACAUUUUAAAAAAUCUCCUUAAAACUUAAAGAUGACUCAUUUUCAAAAGCUUAUUGCAUUCAAGAUUUGGGUGGCAGAUUGGCUUAGCCAAUACGCAAGGAACUACUGCAUAUUGGUAAUAAGCUAAUGCACAGGAAAAUAUUAUUUAUUGACUGUUGCUAACAACCAAUGUAAAAAGGAUUUUCAGCCAGUGCAUGUUUUCAAGAGGGGAAAAGUCCUCUUAAAUAAAUACACACAACGAUUUUGUAGGCAGUUUUCUUUGCUUCUUUUCUCCUCAUUUUCAUCUUUGCUAAUGAUACAUUUAUUUGUUUAAUAACAAUGUUUUAUCAAAUCUUUGAAAUAUAAAAAAUAAUUUGAAACUAACAUAUCACAUUUUUUAAAACUGUUUUGUUAUGUAUCUUAGAACAUGGUAACCUCUAUUGGCAAUCCGAGAUAAUAAUAAAAAUAGAUGCACAUUUUUUCAUGUCUUUUUUUUGCAUUCUUAAAAAGAAUGUAUGCAUCCAAAACAGUGUUACCCAACCUAGAGCCUGUAGGCCAUAUCUGACCCAUGAUGCAGUGCAGUUUGGCUUUUGAAGCUUCUGCUCAUGGUGCAGAGACUAAUUUCAUUGGACUUGCCUUUUUUUGUGUGGCCCAUGACAUGUAUAAGAAAUUCAGCCUUAAGGCUGGAAAAGGUUGGGCAGCACUGACCUAAAUCAUCCCUUUUGAGUUUUGUCCACAUCAAUACAUGAUUUUAUUUCCUGUCCAAUUUUUCAUAGACCUAAAAAACUUGUUGGAUUUAUUAAAUGUUGAUAGAACAGAAAGAAAAAAAUUAUUUCUUUUUCAGGGUGGGGUUUUUGGACUAGUAUUUAAAAAUAGUAUUCAGUCCUACAAAAAGAUUAGUUUAUUGAGACUUAAAAUUGUUUUGUUGUUUUAUAAGGUCAAUUUAAAAAUGUCAUCACCUCCAACUUGAAUUAUUCUCAAUAUGAAAAAGUGUGAAUUAUUUUGUCAUAGAAACAUUUAUUACAACAUAAACUGAAAAAAAAAGUUAAAUAUUAUAUAAAUAUUGUAUAUUACAAUAGCUCAUGAUUUUUACUAACGAGUUUCACUUCAGUUUCUCUGUGGCUAAUUACUCUUAUUUCAUACAUUUAUAAGUGUAUAUUUGUUUGUAUAGAUCUUUAUUUAUUUUAACACAUAUCUUCUUUUCUCUAGAACUGUUCUUAAAGUUUACCAGUGACAUUUGUAUUAGAUCUCCAGAUGAUACUUGUUUUUAUUUGACCACAUAAAUUUGUCAUUAUUCCAUUCAUUAGACAAACUGCAAAAGUUUUGCUGGAUAAAACUUGCUUCAUCAAAACAUUGGUUUUGCUGGCUGGACUAUCACCUUGAUUAUUGAAAAGAGUUCAUCUUAGUUUAUGCUUUUGUUUAACUUUUGCACUCUCAAAUCUACUAAACGUUAAUCAUAUAAAAGUAAUGAAACAUUUUUUUUUCUUAGCCAUGUCUACUACCAUUGUUAAAAUAGAUACAAUUGUGAGGGAGUUUUAAAAAUGUAAUUUGCUAGAUUACUAGCACAACCACUCAUUGAAAUUAAUUUUAGUGGAAAAGGGGGGGGGGGGGACAAAAAAGUGUUUUCUAUGUUGUUGUUUUUUUAUGUUUUAUUAUUUUUUUUUACAUUUAAACACCUUGUAUAUUGACAGAAGAACUCUUUUGUGUUCUCCUGAUUCCUACAAUCAUUCUAGUGGCAGCCAUUUUAUUUCUUGUCAUUUGUAGAACUAUGAUUCAGUUGUUAUUGUUGUGAAUUAGUCCUCCCAAUGGUUAUUACGUAUUUAUAUGGUUUAACAUUUUUUUAAAAUUAUUGUAAAGACAAUCUAAAUAAUGCCUGUCCUGUCAGGACUUUAUUUAUGAUUAGAUUUUUAAAUGUCUAGGUAAUUAAGUAAAAUUUUAAUUGCAAUAUGUGUGUGUAUUAAAGAAUAAUUGUUAUCUUUUGCUUGA